AGAGUUUGAUCCUGGCUCAGGACGAACGCUGGCGGCGUGCCUAAUACAUGCAAGUCGAACGGACGUGAGCAAUCACGUCAGUGGCAGACGGGUGAGUAACGCGUGGGAACAUACCCUCCGGUUCGGAAUAGCUCAGGGAAACUUGGAUUAAUACCGGAUACGGCCGUGAGGCGAAAGAUUUAUCGCCGGAGGAUUGGCCC
rnacentral:rRNA from 1 species